AUGGAUGCCGGCGAUGGGAACGAGGCCGGGAGCCGCGCGACUGCUCCGGAGAUGGGAGUCAUCAUCGGGGUCGGGGAGGACGAGAUCCGCGGGGAACCGGGAGGGCUUGUGCGCAGGGCCGACGGCGGGCCCGCGGAGUCCGCUCAUCAGCCCGCAGGCGAAAUGAGCCCACAAGCUCCCGGGCGGGCCAAAAGUGCUAGGGUUGAUUGUCCUCCCCGGGACCACACAUCAUGUCCUAACAGAAUUGGGGCCGUCGAGAAAUCCAUCAAAGCUUAUGUAGAGAACAGAGGAGAUCAUGUUAUCAACCCAGCGUUGGGUACAACUUUUGAUUCUCUUGGCGAGGCAUAUUACUUCUACAAUCUGUAUUCGUGGGAACAUGGAUUUGGCAUCAAGUACGGCAAGAGUCGGCUUAGUGCAAAGAGGACCAAGACCAUGCAGGAAAUUGUUUGUGGGCGUUCGGGGGAACCAGGUGCCGAAAACACAAGUUCUUGCCGGUGUGGAUGUCCUGCGAUGAUCCGUUUGCUGCGUACAGAUAACAACGGCUGGUACAUCAAAGAGCACAGGAUGACACACAACCACUCUUUGACUCCAAGGUGCGGACAGAAGGUACUCUGGCCAUCCCACAAACAUAUAGAUCUGUACACAAAGGACUUGAUACGUCAGCUGAGGGAGGACAACACGAACAUCGGCAAAGUCAAUGGCAUUAUAGGAAGUUUCUCUGGAACCAUGGAGAAUGUGUCAUCUACUAAUUGUAUGUUUAGGAACCUGUGUAGUCAAAUUGGCAUAGAUCAAGCAGAUGAUGAAGUUAGGAAGACAAUUGAAGUCUUCGCGGACAUAGGAGCAAAGAAUCCGGACUUCAUGUUCGGGGUACAAGAAGAUGCCGAGAAUUGGAUAAAGAACCUCAUGUGGACCAACAGGGGGAGCCAAAUGCAGUACAAGUACUUCGGAGAUGUUAUCACGUUCGACACCACUUACAGGACUAACUUGUACGACAUGCCAUUUGGACUAUUCAUUGGCGUGAAUGAGCACUUUCAGAGCAUCAUCUUGGCUGGAGUGUUGGUUAGAGACGAGCAGGUAGAGAGCUUCGAAUGGGUUUUCUCUGAAUUCAUAAGAAUGAUGGGUGGUGAAGCACCAAAGACAAUUCUGACAGAUCAGAAUCAAGCGAUGGAGGUGGCCAUAAAGAAUGUGAUGCCAAACACAGCCCACCAAUGGUGCAAAUGGCACAUCUUGAAGAAAGCAGAAGAGUGCCUUGGACCACUAUACAGAAAACGGAAUGGGUUCCGAGCAGAGUUCCAUAAGGUCUUCAACAACGUAGUGACAAUAGAUGAGUUUGAGACAGCAUGGGCGGUGUUGAUCGACAAGUACAACUUAAGGUCACAUCCGUACAUGGCACAACUUUACGAAACCAGGAAGAAAUGGGCAAAGCCAUAUUUCAAGGGGGUGUUUUGUGCCAAGAUGACGAGUACUCAAAGGAGCGAGACUGCCAACAGUAUGCUGAAGAAAUAUGUACAACCUGCAUGUCCGAUGCAUAUGUUCGUGAAGCAAUACAUGCGCUUGCAGUUUGACCGGGACGCAGAUGAAGCCUAUGAAGAGAAACGGACCCUGAUUGGUGGCGUCGUGCUGAGGCGUAACUUACCUAUGGAAUGA
rnacentral:rRNA from 1 species